rnacentral:ncRNA from 1 species
GAACUGAAGAGUUUGAUCAUGGCUCAGAUUGAACGCUGGCGGUAUGCUUAACACAUGCAAGUCGAACGGUAGCAGGCCUUCGGGCGCUGACGAGUGGCGGACGGGUGAGUAACGCGUAGGAAUCUGCCUGUUAGUGGGGGACAACGUGUGGAAACGCACGCUAAUACCGCAUACGCCCUACGGGGGAAAGGGGGGGACCUUCGGGCCUUUCGCUAACAGAUGAGCCUGCGUUGGAUUAGCUAGUUGGUAGGGUAAAGGCCUACCAAGGCGACGAUCCAUAGCUGGUCUGAGAGGACGAUCAGCCACACUGGGACUGAGACACGGCCCAGACUCCUACGGGAGGCAGCAGUGGGGAAUAUUGGACAAUGGGCG